GACGAACGCUAGCGGCAGGCCUAACACAUGCAAGUCGAGGGGUAACAUAGAAAAGCUUGCUUUUCUGAUGACGACCGGCGCACGGGUGCGUAACGCGUAUACAACCUACCUUUUAGCGGGGAAUAGCCCAGGGAAACUUGGAUUAAUGCCUCAUAGUAUAUAAGCUUCUCCUGAAGUUUAUAUUAAACAUUUAUGGCUAUUAGAUGGGUAUGCGUCCUAUUAGUUAGUUGGUAAGGUAACGGCUUACCAAGGCAGCGAUAGGUAGGGGUCCUGAGAGGGAGAUCCCCACACUGGUACUGAGACACGGACCAGACUCCUACGGGAGGCACGCAGUGAGGAAUAUUGGACAAUGGGCGAGAGCCUGAUCCAGCCAUGCCGCGUGCAGGAAGACUGCCCUAUGGGUUGUAAACUGCUUUUACAGAGGAAGAACCACCCCCACGUGUGGGGGUUUGACGGUACUCUGCGAAUAAGGAUCGGCUAACUCCGUG
rnacentral:rRNA from 1 species